UACGUAGGGGGCAAGCGUUGUCCGGAAUCAUUGGGCGUAAAGAGCGUGUAGGCGGCUUGGUAAGUCCGCUGUGAAAGUCCAGGGCUCAACCCUGGAAAGCCGGUGGAAACUGUCAAGCUUGAGUCCGGAAGAGGCGAGUGGAAUUCCUGGUGUAGCGGUGAAAUGCGCAGAUAUCAGGAGGAACACCAAUGGCGAAGGCAGCUCGCUGGGACGGUACUGACGCUGAGGAGCGAAAGCGCGGGGAGCGAACAGG
rnacentral:rRNA from 1 species